GACGAACGCUGGCGGCGUGCUUAACACAUGCCAGUCGAACGGAAAGGCCCUGCUUUUGUGGGGUGCUCGAGUGGCGAACGGGUGAGUAACACGUGAGUAACCUGCCCUUGACUUUGGGAUAACUUCAGGAAACUGGGGCUAAUACCGUAUAGGAGCUCCUGCUGCAUGGUGGGGGUUGGAAAGUUUCGGCGGUUGGGGAUGGACUCGCGGCUUAUCAGCUUGUUGGUUGGGUAGUGGCUUACCAAGGCUUUGACGGGUAGCCGGCCUGAGAGGGUGACCGGCCACAAUGGGACUGAGAUACGGCCCAGACUCCUACGGGGGGCAGCAGGGGGGAGUAUUGCACAAUGGGCGGGAGCCUGAGGCAGCGACGCCGCGUGCGGGAUGACGGCCUUCGGGGUGUGAACCGCUUUCGCCUGUGACGAAGCGUGAGUGACGGUAAUGGGUAAAGAAGCACCGGCUAACUACGUG
rnacentral:rRNA from 1 species